rnacentral:lncRNA from 1 species
CUCCCCUCUCGUCCGCAGCCGCAGGGCCGUAGGCAGCCAUGGCGCCCAGCCGGAAUGGCAUGGUCUUGAAGCCCCACUUCCACAAGGACUGGCAGCGGCGCGUGGCCACGUGGUUCAACCAGCCGGCCCGUAAGAUCCGCAGCGUAAGGCCCGGCAAGCCAAGGCGCGCCGCAUCGCCCCGCGCCCCGCGUCGGGUCCCAUCCGGCCCAUCGUGCGCUGCCCCACGGUUCGGUACCACACGAAGGUGCGCGCCGGCCGCGGCUUCAGCCUGGAGGAGCUCAGGUGGCCGGCAUUCACAAGAAGGUGGCCCGGACCAUCGGCAUUUCUGUGGAUCCGAGGAGGCGGAACAAGUCCACGGAGUCCCUGCAGGCCAACGUGCAGCGGCUGAAGGAGUACCGCUCCAAACUCAUCCUCUUCCCCAGGAAGCCCUCGGCCCCCAAGAAGGGAGACAGUUCUCUGAAGAACUGAAACUGGCCACCCAGCUGACCGGACCGGUCAUGCCCGUCCGGAACUCUAUAAGAAGGAGAAAGCUCGAGUCAUCACUGAGGAAGAGAAGAAUUUCAAAGCCUUCGCUAGUCUCCGUAUGGCCCGUGCCAACGCCCGGCUCUUCGGCAUACGGGCAAAAAGAGCCAAGGAAGCCGCAGAACAGGAUGUUGAAAAGAAAAAAUAAAGCCCUCCUGGGGACUUGGAAUCAGUCGGCAGUCAUGCUGGGUCUCCACGUGGUGUGUUUCG